rfam:Streptococcus sp. DD10 genomic scaffold scaffold00002, whole genome shotgun sequence.
UGAGUGUUAUGAUGAUGGAGGCUCGUCCUCUUAGUCUAGCUCUGGUCUACCGCUAGGUUUUUCCUAGCGG